AAGACCGGAGGAAGGUGGGGAUGACGUCAAGUCCUCAUGGCCCUUAUAGGUGGGGCUACACACGUCAUACAAUGGCUGGUACAAAGGGUUGCCAACCCGCGAGGGGGAGCCAAUCCCAUAAAGCCAGUCGUAGUCCGGAUCGUAGUCUGCAACUCGACUACGUGAAGUCGGAAUCGCUAGUAAUCGUGGAUCAGAAUGUCACGGUGAAUACGUUCCCGGGUCUU
rnacentral:rRNA from 1 species